UACAGAGGGUGCGAGCGUUAAUCGGAAUUACUGGGCGUAAAGCGCACGUAGGCGGUUCGUUAUGUCGGAUGUGAAAGCCCUUGGCUUAACCGAGGAAGUGCAUCCGAAACUGGCGAGCUAGAGUACGAAAGAGGAUCGCGGAAUUCCCGGUGUAGAGGUGAAAUUCGUAGAUAUCGGGAGGAACACCGGUGGCGAAGGCGGCGAUCUGGGUCGAUACUGACGCUGAGGUGCGAAAGCGUGGGGAGCAAACAGG
rnacentral:rRNA from 1 species